AUUGAACGCUGGCGGCAUGCCUUACACAUGCAAGUCGAACGGUAACGGGUCCUUCGGGAUGCCGACGAGUGGCGAACGGGUGAGGAAUAUAUCGGAACGUGCCCAGUAGUGGGGGAUAACUGCUCGAAAGAGCAGCCAAUACCGCAUACGACCUGAGGGUGAAAGGGGGGGAUCGCAAGACCUCUCCCUAGUGGAGCGGCCGAUAUCAGAUUAGCUAGUUGGUGGGGUAAAGGCCUACCAAGGCAACGAUCUGUAGUUGGUCUGAGAGGACGACCAGCCACACUGGGACUGUGACACGGCCCAGACUCCUACGGGAGGCAGCAGUGGGGAAUUUUGGACAAUGGGCGCAAGCCUGAUCCAGCAAUGCCGCGUGCAGGAAGAAGGCCUUCGGGUUGUAAACUGCUUUUGUCAGGGAAGAAAUCUUCUGGGCUAAUACCCCGGGAGGAUGACGGUACCUGAAGAAUAAGCACCGGCUAACUACGUGCCAGCCGCCGCGGUAA
rnacentral:rRNA from 1 species